UAUAUAUAUAAUAACUUAUUCUAUAGCCACUUUGAGUAACGAUAAUUACUAUGUUAAUUUACGAGAUUAUAGUAACUCCAUAUUAAGUGGUUUAUUAUAACGUUAUGGUAAUAUCUCCAUAUGUUACAGUAACCUAACUAUUGUAAAUAUGUAUUGAUAUUAUCGUAAAUUAGUAUAUAAAAUUAUCGUAAAUAGAGGUGGCUACAAAAUAACUUUUAUAUAUAUA
rnacentral:pre_miRNA from 1 species